rnacentral:rRNA from 1 species
GACGAACGCUGGCGGCGUGCUUAACACAUGCCAGUCGAACGGAAAGGCCCUUCUUUUGUGGGGUGCUCGAGUGGCGAACGGGUGAGUAACACGUGAGUAACCUGCCCUUGACUUUGGGAUAACUUCAGGUAACUGGGGCUAAUACCGGAUAGGAGCUCCUGCUGCUUGGUGGGGGUUGGAAAGUUUCGGCGGUUGGGGAUGAACUCGCGGCUUAUCAGCUUGUUGGUGUGGUAGUUGCUUACCAAGGCUUUGACGGGUAGCCGGCCUGAGUGGAUGACCGGGAAAAUUGGGACUGAUAUACGGCGCAGACUCCUACGGGAGGCAGCAGUAGAGAAGAUUGCACAAUGGGCGGAAGCCUGAUGCAGCAAAGCCGCGUGCGGGAUAAAGGCCUUCGGGUGGUAAACCGCUUUCGCCUGGGACGAAGCGUGAGUGAAGGUAAUGGGUUAAGAAGCACCGGCUAACUACGUG